ensembl:lncRNA
GGAGGGGGUGGGAGGGAAUCAAGGCCAACGUUUGUACGUUUGUCCGUUAAAAUUUCAGCACGUUUACUUGUCUAAAAAAAACACUUCUCGGAGCAAUACCGUAGCUAAAGCAGGACUGUGAAUACACAAACUCCGUUUUCCCCCUUUUUCAUGCUAAAGAGCGAAAGUGUUGAAUCCGAGCGAGAGCGUAGUAAUCUAUAGUAAGUAACGUUGUUAUACGCUAGCUUAGUCACCGAGCGUGGAGGUUGUAAUCGACGUGUGCCGUGCAGCGCGAGAUCUCAACCCUGUCAGAAGAGGGCAGAUAGAGCUUGAAAAGAUGCGGUUGUUUGGCUCCGUGUGUCUCCGAGGAAGCGCGUGUUAGGCUUCACCCUUCCCGCUUGGUUGCUGUCGCAUGAUGAGGGAAAGCUGGUGGGCAGAAAUUCGCCAAAACCGAAUUUUGAAAUACUGCCGCAUUUUAAAGCGGCAGUAUGUAAUGUUUAGGGCCUAUAAAGCGACAUAAUUUCCCUCCAAACCAAUCAUACAUUUUAAAGCGGCGGUAUGUAAUCUUUAGAGCCCUUAAAGCGACGUCUUUUUCCUCCAAACCCGAUCAUACAUUUUAAAGUGGCGGUAUGUAAUACUUAGAGCUCUUAAAGCUAUAUAAUUUUCCUCAAAACCCGAUCAUACAUUUUAAAGCAGCUGUAUAUAAUGUUUAGGGCCCAUAAAGCGAGAUCUUUUUCUUCCAAACCAAUCAGACAUUUUAAAGCAGCGGUAUGUAAUCUUUAGAGCCCUUAAAGCGACGUCUUUUUCCUCCAAACCAAUCAUACAUUUUAAAGCGGCGGUAUGUAAUCUUUAGAGCCCUUAAAGCGACGUCUUUUCCCUCCAAACCCGAUCAUACGUUUUAAAGCAGCUGUACAAAAUAUUUAGAGCCCUUAAAGCUACAUCAAUUUUCCUCAAAUCCGAUCGUACAUUUUAAAGGUGCAGUAUGCAAUAUUUAGAGCCCUUAAAGCUACAACUUUCCUCAGAACCGAGCAUACAAUUUAAAGCGGCAGUGCGUAACGUCCGGAGCCAUUUUUAAACGCUUAUUAAACCCGAGGUACCUCAGAAGUCGAAGGUGAACGUCGGUGAGCUGGUUCUCCGGGUUUUAGUCCCACCGUCGAGCUUCCACUCGACUCUCCCGUCGGUCCGUCCGCUCUAAGGAAGCGCCCGUUUGUUUUCCCUAUUCGGAGAACCCGUACGAUUCUGCCACGCUACGUUACGUUUACACGUUGCCUUUGAAAAACACGUCGGUCCGUGCUGAAAACCAGGUGUUUUACCUGUAGCUCAGAACUGUUUGGUGUCGUUCGAGAGAGCCGGUCACGUCAAAUCGACUCAUUUCUUCGUUUGCCAGGUUAGCCGAUGCUCGCCGAUGGACUUGAGAUCUGCCCCAACAAAUCGGUCUGUUCUCCCUGCUUUCUCUCCGAACAACGUUAAGCGACCAGUCAAGCAUCGAUCAUGUCCGGUACGACAGACCGCAUCUGCGAAUCAGCAUGUCUCAGUGACUCGUAGUUGAUUUUAGUAAAUAUAUUUGGUUUCAUUUGGUGUUUUUGUUUUUCUUGGGUUUUUUUUUCUUCUCAUCGGAUCCAGGAACCGGAAUACACGGUGUCUGGGAAGCAAAAUGGCAGAUUUGGAAUCUUUAGGGGCGGGGCGGGGGGAGUUCCCCGCAAAAUCGAACACUAUGUUGAGAAUAGGACACAUUCUGUUCUUGAUCUCAGGUCCAGAUGAUGAUGAUGAUGAUGAUGAUGAUGAUGAUCUGGGGUUAAAUACCUCGUCGUUACGUGACGACGAUCUCCAGACCUUGUGAUGUUGGCUGGUCGAGUGCGAAACCGUAAAAGCGAUGUUUGAUGGUAGUCUGCGGGGGCAAAGCUGAACGCCU